AGUAUCGGCGAAGCUUGCGGGUUUUCUCGCAGGUGACGGUAGGUACAGAAGAAGCACCGGCCAACUACGUGCCAGCAGCCGCGGUAAUACGUAGGGUGCGAGCGUUGUCCGGAAUUACUGGGCGUAAAGAGCUCGUAGGUGGUUUGUCGCGUUGUCCGUGAAAACUCACAGCUCAACUGUGGGCGUGCGGGCGAUACGGGCAGACUGGAGUACUGUAGGGGAGACUGGAAUUCCUGGUGUAGCGGUGGAAUGCGCAGAUAUCAGGAGGAACACCGGUGGCGAAGGCGGGUCUCUGGGCAGUAACUGACGCUGAGGAGCGAAAGCGUGGGGAGCGAACAGGAUUAGAUACCCUGGUAGUCCACGCCGUAAACGGUGGGUACUAGGUGUGGGUUUCCUUCCUUUAGGGAUCCGUGCCGUAGCUAACGCAUUAAGUACCCCGCCUGGGGAGUACGGCCGCAAGGCUAAAACUCAAAGGAAUUGACGGGGGCCCGCACAAGCGGCGGAGCAUGUGGAUUAAUUCGAUGCAACGCGAAGAACCUUACCUGGGUUUGACAUGCACAGGACGCCGGUAGAGAUAUCGGUUCCCUUGUGGCCUGUGUGCAGGUGGUGCAUGGCUGUCG
rnacentral:rRNA from 1 species